GAAAAAUUAGUUAAUUUAUAAUAUUAGUUUGUCAAAUUAAAGUUACUAUAGGGUAUUUUUCA
rnacentral:tRNA from 1 species